GAUCCUGGCUCAGGAUGAACGCUAGCUACAGGCUUAACACAUGCAAGUCGAGGGGCAGCAUUUCAGUUUGCUUGCAAACUGGAGAUGGCGACCGGCGCACGGGUGAGUAACACGUAUCCAACCUGCCGAUAACUCGGGGAUAGCCUUUCGAAAGAAAGAUUAAUACCCGAUGGUAUAAUCAGACCGCAUGGUCUUGUUAUUAAAGAAAUUUCGGUUAUCGAUGGGGAGUGCGUUCCAUUAGGCAG
rnacentral:rRNA from 1 species